rnacentral:rRNA from 1 species
CAAUAGCGUAUAUUAAAGUUGUUGCGGUUAAAAAGCUCGUAGUUGGAUUUCUGCCGAGGACGACCGGUCCGCCCUCUGGGUGAGUAUCUGGCUUGGCCUGGGCAUCUUCUUGGAGAACGUAGCUGCACUUUGACUGUGUGGGUGCGGUAUCCAGGACUUUUACUUUGAGGAAAUUAGAGUGUUUCAAGCAGGCAUGCGCCUUUGAAUACAUUAGCAUGGAAUAAUAAGAUAGGACCUCGGUUCUAUUUUGUUGGUUUCUAGAGCUGAGGUAAUGAUUAAUAGGGGAUAUUGGGGGCAUUCGUAUUUAACUGUCAGAGGUGAAAUUCUUUGGAAUUUG